UACAGAGGUGCCAAGCGUUAGGCGGAAUCACUGGGCUUAAAGCGUGUGUAGGCGGAUCGUUAAGUGCUUUGUGAAAUCCCCCGGCUUAACCGGGGAACGGCUUGGCAGACUGGCGAUCUUGAGCCACCUAGGGGCAACUGGAACAAACGGUGGAGCGGUGAAAUGCGUAGAUAUCGUUUGGAACGCCCAUGGUGAAAACAGGUUGCUAGGGGUGAGCUGACGCUGAGACACGAAAGCCAGGGGAG
rnacentral:rRNA from 1 species